UUUUAUAAUUAAUAUAGCAUUGAAAGACCCCCAGAGUGGGGAGACCCUCAUUCAAGUCUCGGGAUAAGCUGACACCCCAAUAAUUCACUAAAGACC
rnacentral:pre_miRNA from 11 species